UUAAGCGACUAAGCGUACACGGUGGAUGCCCUGGCAGUCAGAGGCGAUGAAGGACGUGCUAAUCUGCGAUAAGCGUCGGUAAGGUGAUAUGAACCGUUAUAACCGGCGAUUUCCGAAUGGGGAAACCCAGUGUGAUUCGUCACACUAUCAUUAACUGAAUCCAUAGGUUAAUGAGGCGAACCGGGGGAACUGAAACAUCUAAGUACCCCGAGGAAAAGAAAUCAACCGAGAUUCCCCCAGUAGCGGCGAGCGAACGGGGAGCAGCCCAGAGCCUGAAUCAGUGUGUGUGUUAGUGGAAGCGUCUGGAAAGGCGCGCGAUACAGGGUGACAGCCCCGUACACAAAAAUGCACAUAUUGUGAGCUCGAUGAGUAGGGCGGGACACGUGGUAUCCUGUCUGAAUAUGGGGGGACCAUCCUCCAAGGCUAAAUACUCCUGACUGACCGAUAGUGAACCAGUACCGUGAGGGAAAGGCGAAAAGAACCCCGGCGAGGGGAGUGAAAAAGAACCUGAAACCGUGUACGUACAAGCAGUGGGAGCACGCUUAGGCGUGUGACUGCGUACCUUUUGUAUAAUGGGUCAGCGACUUAUAUUCUGUAGCAAGGUUAACCGAAUAGGGGAGCCGAAGGGAAACCGAGUCUUAACUGGGCGUUAAGUUGCAGGGUAUAGACCCGAAACCCGGUGAUCUAGCCAUGGGCAGGUUGAAGGUUGGGUAACACUAACUGGAGGACCGAACCGACUAAUGUUGAAAAAUUAGCGGAUGACUUGUGGCUGGGGGUGAAAGGCCAAUCAAACCGGGAGAUAGCUGGUUCUCCCCGAAAGCUAUUUAGGUAGCGCCUCGUGAAUUCAUCUCCGGGGGUAGAGCACUGUUUCGGCAAGGGGGUCAUCCCGACUUACCAACCCGAUGCAAACUGCGAAUACCGGAGAAUGUUAUCACGGGAGACACACGGCGGGUGCUAACGUCCGUCGUGAAGAGGGAAACAACCCAGACCGCCAGCUAAGGUCCCAAAGUCAUGGUUAAGUGGGAAACGAUGUGGGAAGGCCCAGACAGCCAGGAUGUUGGCUUAGAAGCAGCCAUCAUUUAAAGAAAGCGUAAUAGCUCACUGGUCGAGUCGGCCUGCGCGGAAGAUGUAACGGGGCUAAACCAUGCACCGAAGCUGCGGCAGCGACGCUUAUGCGUUGUUGGGUAGGGGAGCGUUCUGUAAGCCUGUGAAGGUGUACUGUGAGGUAUGCUGGAGGUAUCAGAAGUGCGAAUGCUGACAUAAGUAACGAUAAAGCGGGUGAAAAGCCCGCUCGCCGGAAGACCAAGGGUUCCUGUCCAACGUUAAUCGGGGCAGGGUGAGUCGACCCCUAAGGCGAGGCCGAAAGGCGUAGUCGAUGGGAAACAGGUUAAUAUUCCUGUACUUGGUGUUACUGCGAAGGGGGGACGGAGAAGGCUAUGUUGGCCGGGCGACGGUUGUCCCGGUUUAAGCGUGUAGGCUGGUUUUCCAGGCAAAUCCGGAAAAUCAAGGCUGAGGCGUGAUGACGAGGCACUACGGUGCUGAAGCAACAAAUGCCCUGCUUCCAGGAAAAGCCUCUAAGCAUCAGGUAACAUCAAAUCGUACCCCAAACCGACACAGGUGGUCAGGUAGAGAAUACCAAGGCGCUUGAGAGAACUCGGGUGAAGGAACUAGGCAAAAUGGUGCCGUAACUUCGGGAGAAGGCACGCUGAUAUGUAGGUGAAGUCCCUCGCGGGUGGAGCUGAAAUCAGUCGAAGAUACCAGCUGGCUGCAACUGUUUAUUAAAAACACAGCACUGUGCAAACACGAAAGUGGACGUAUACGGUGUGACGCCUGCCCGGUGCCGGAAGGUUAAUUGAUGGGGUCAGCGCAAGCGAAGCUCUUGAUCGAAGCCCCGGUAAACGGCGGCCGUAACUAUAACGGUCCUAAGGUAGCGAAAUUCCUUGUCGGGUAAGUUCCGACCUGCACGAAUGGCGUAAUGAUGGCCAGGCUGUCUCCACCCGAGACUCAGUGAAAUUGAACUCGCUGUGAAGAUGCAGUGUACCCGCGGCAAGACGGAAAGACCCCGUGAACCUUUACUAUAGCUUGACACUGAACAUUGAGCCUUGAUGUGUAGGAUAGGUGGGAGGCUUUGAAGUGUGGACGCCAGUCUGCAUGGAGCCGACCUUGAAAUACCACCCUUUAAUGUUUGAUGUUCUAACGUUGACCCGUGAUCCGGGUUGCGGACAGUGUCUGGUGGGUAGUUUGACUGGGGCGGUCUCCUCCUAAAGAGUAACGGAGGAGCACGAAGGUUGGCUAAUCCUGGUCGGACAUCAGGAGGUUAGUGCAAUGGCAUAAGCCAGCUUGACUGCGAGCGUGACGGCGCGAGCAGGUGCGAAAGCAGGUCAUAGUGAUCCGGUGGUUCUGAAUGGAAGGGCCAUCGCUCAACGGAUAAAAGGUACUCCGGGGAUAACAGGCUGAUACCGCCCAAGAGUUCAUAUCGACGGCGGUGUUUGGCACCUCGAUGUCGGCUCAUCACAUCCUGGGGCUGAAGUAGGUCCCAAGGGUAUGGCUGUUCGCCAUUUAAAGUGGUACGCGAGCUGGGUUUAGAACGUCGUGAGACAGUUCGGUCCCUAUCUGCCGUGGGCGCUGGAGAACUGAGGGGGGCUGCUCCUAGUACGAGAGGACCGGAGUGGACGCAUCACUGGUGUUCGGGUUGUCAUGCCAAUGGCACUGCCCGGUAGCUAAAUGCGGAAGAGAUAAGUGCUGAAAGCAUCUAAGCACGAAACUUGCCCCGAGAUGAGUUCUCCCUGACCCUUUAAGGGUCCUGAAGGAACGUUGAAGACGACGACGUUGAUAGGCCGGGUGUGUAAGCGCAGCGAUGCGUUGAGCUAACCGGUACUAAUGAACCGUGAGGCUUAACCUU
rnacentral:rRNA from 1 species